UACGUAGGGGGCUAGCGUUGUCCGGAAUCAUUGGGCGUAAAGCGCGUGUAGGCGGUCCGGUAAGUCCGCUGUGAAAGUCGGGGGCUCAACCCUCGGAUGCCGGUGGAUACUGUCGGGCUUGAGUACGGAAGAGGCGAGUGGAAUUCCUGGUGUAGCGGUGGAAUGCGCAGAUAUCAGGAGGAACACCGAUAGCGAAGGCAGCUCGCUGGGACGGUACUGACGCUCAGGCGCGAAAGCGUGGGGAGCAAACAGG
rnacentral:rRNA from 1 species